AAUGAUGGAGUAUAAAUAUUUCAUCGAGCUUAGUUGAUUCUUAAAUGAGGGGUGGUAACUGCAAUGGAAAAAUUUGAGUCGUCUGCAACGUUAAAAUGUUUUACCUGGAUGGAAAAGUUUGGAAUUCUGACCUAUUUGGUCAAAUGAAAAUAUCUUUUUAUUGUCUCCUCGGAGACGAUAUUAAGAAUUGAACGAUGGACAGUCAGUGCGUGAAUGCUUCUUACUACCUGAUUGGAAGAUAUUACAAGAUGUGAAUAAUCAAAGUUUAUUGAUUGGUUAGGACAAUCCAAACCUAGUAAAUGUCCUUCAGUCCCGUAGAGUAUUGGAUUUGUCCUCUCUAUUUUAGCAAUUAGAUUUUGCAUGGUCAUUAUUAAUCAUGCAUAUUCAUCAUAUUGGUACACAGGUAACUUUUAUCUAUAAAUAGUCGAUUCUUCUGGAGUUUCGUAAACAACAAUGUUAAACGAUAUAUACUACUUCAUAACGUGUGUGGUAAAAUUUGUUGAUUGAUGCACGUGGCUAUUCUAAAUGAACUAAUCUACAAAGCGAGAAAACUUUCCAUUUUCAUCAGCUAAGAGACGGCUAGCCCUUUUUUGAAAGGCUAAUACUUGUGUUACUAUUGUUGUUAACCAUAUUGUGACAAGUUCUUCAUACCACGGGGGCAUAAGCAAGUGUAAAAUUAACUUGCAUGUCAUGUUUUGCGCCUGUCCCAAGUCAGGAGCCUCUGGCCUUUGUUAGUCUUGUAUUAUUUUAACUUUUAGUUUCUUGUGUACAAUUUGGAGUUUAGUAUGAUCUAGUAUGGCGUUCAUUAUCACUGAACUAGUAUAUAUAUUUGUUUAGGGGCCAGCUGAAGGACGCCUUCGGGUGUGGGAAUUUCUCGCUGCAUUGAAGACCUGUUGGUGACCUUCUGCUCUAUGGUCGGGUUGUUGUCUCUUUGACACAUUCCCCGAUUUCCAUUCUCAAUUUUAUUUUACAUGUAUAAGGAAUCGUACAGGAUUUUUAAACUUUUAAAUAUAAAUCUCUGAUUUGCAACCACAGUUUACUGUUAUACACAUUAGAAAACUAUAUAUAUAGUAAACAUAAAAAAAAGUGGAGAAAUGCUGUCUUCAGUUCUACAUCUACAUGGCCGGAUGGGUAAUCCGUAAAGAGUCGGUUGACUCAUCACAGGAAUGUGUUAAAAUUAAAGUUGUGUCAUCCAAAAUGUGCUCUGUGAAAAUCAUAUGUACAGGUGCCAGUGCAGAUAAAAACAGUUGGACUAUACCUACUUAUAAUUUAUUUUUCUUUCUAAGCGAUGGUUUGUAGUCGCCAUAAACUUUUAUUAAUUGGUACAAAUGUAUGCAACACAAGUGUUAUAUAGUACAGAAUAAAAUUGAAACACAAACCCUAUUACUUUCAACACUGUUUGUGUUUUAACUUAAAGCAAGAUGCAAAUAUGAUUAUGAUGUUAAACAUAAACUUAACCAAAAAGAAGUUAUAUUGAGAGUAUUGAGACAGAGGGUGAUUGCUGUCAACAAAAAAAACAACAGCCAUGUGUAAAUCUAAGGGCUUGCUAUGAUAAUAAUGUUUGUCGACUUUUUUUUAGCUCAAUCUGAGACUGUUAUAGUAAGGGGGAGCAUAGUAGUCUCAGGCUCAAUAUACAGUCAUAAAUCUAACAAGUUCGUGCUUGUGUCAAUUUCUUUAAUCCAGUCAUGUUUUUUGUACCAAUUUGUUCCACGAUACUUGCGCUUUGGAUAUCAGACAUAGUCCAAAUUUCCUGACAUAAAGUCAUUGUAUAAAUAAAAAGAAUAAUCUAAACUAAUAUCUAAUCAUUUGUCACAUACUGCAAAUUGCGUUCUUGGACACAGCCUUUUACUUGUAACCCAAAUAUUUCAUGCCCUUCUCGUGAUCAAUCUCUUUUCUCGGUAGAUGAUGUUGUCAUCUUUAACCAGCAGAAUAUGUCGACUUAAUCAUUUUCGUAAGAUUACUCGAAGAAAUACAAAACCAAAAUUGGACACAGGAAGGUUUGAAUGAAACGAAAGUAUGAUCAAUGGUUACUGGUAACGGACAUGAAAAAAAUCCAGAAAUCGUAAAUUUUUAAAAAUAAAAAAAAUUGGGGUGGGCAGGGAAGAAAAUCUAUCAAUUAAUUUUAAUUGGCCUAACCCAGUACAUACAAUAUUGUGAAACAGAAGAUAUCAAACCAUUAGGUAUAAUAGAAUAUUAACUGUUACAAUUGGUCUUAGCUCACCGGGUAAAAAUUAUUAUUUGAACUUCUACAUGUAAAAAAAUUAUUUUGUGGCUAAAAUGGAAUACUAGGUGUAUAAUUCUUUAAUGAAUACAAGACAAUAUGAAGAGAGAAUCAUGCAUGGUGAUUACCCCUGAAAAUUGGAUAAUUGAGACCAUAUUUUUCGAAAUUUGCAAAUGUUUUAAUUUUACUAAUCAGAGAUAUAAC
rnacentral:lncRNA from 1 species